GGGCGAUAGGUGAAGGAUCUACAAAAGAAAGCCAAAUCAGAUUUGGAAAAAGUUUUCAAAAAAGCCAAAAGAUGGCUUCUCACGUGGUCUGUGGGUACUGUGGAAAGGCAAAUCAUGUAUAAAUCGAUUGUUGGAGAAAGGGGCGGAAAUGUUUAAUCUGCGGAAGUGGCGAUCAUCAAGUUAGCAACUGUCCGAGGAGACAGUCACGUGAAAGCAAUACUCUGC
rnacentral:lncRNA from 1 species